CUCUCUGCACAGUGGCAGUAUCAUAGCUGAUGAGGUUUAAUCGAGGUCCCAUUAUUGCUUAUUGAAAACUUUUCCCAAUAACCUGCUUUGAUGAUUUAAAUAUAGUGGGCAAUGGCAAUUUUUGACAGUCUCUUUGGAGA